ensembl:lncRNA
AACAAAUCUUGAUAUGAAUAAUAGUUCUCUCUUUUUCAAAUUAAAAUUUCUUAGUCAUGGAUUUUGGUUCUCAAAACCUUUGACCCUAAUUAGACGCCAUAGCUGAAGUAUAACCUAAGCUAACUAUGUAGAAAUAAUGAGAAAGUUAAAGUAAAAUUAAAUUAAAAAUCAAAUUAUAUACUAUACGUACGCUACAUUAUUCAGUUUUAUGUGUUCAACCUAAACCUCCUAGUAUUGUUAAAUGAAGGCCAGAUGUCCAGAUAAGUAUAUUAAAAAAUAUAUUUGUUCUCAUUUUUUUAGACAUGAUUGUAGAUUGGAAUUAUUUAGUUAAAUCACCCAGUGAAUAGCAGUGAAAUAAAUCUACAUGGAGCCAGUUUUCAUGAGAAAAAAACAUAUCUUAAAUAUUUAUAUAUUAUAUUAAAACCCUGUUAUAUAUUUAUACACUGUAAUUUAUGUGAUCUGGCUAAUUGAAUUAGGUCAUGGGAAUUCUUCACACCCAGUUACUCAAGAGUUUCUGAGUUUUUCCUGUCGGUAAAAUUUUUACGUCAGCUGUUCAAAGUCCUUCACCAGGUGUCAUAACGCGGCUAAUUACCUGAGACACGCGGAGUUACGUGCGGAGGGGAGAUACGAGUUCAGCUUUCUCAGUGUGAGUUAGGUGGCAGUGGCGGGUCAGCAGUUCUAACUAGUAAUAAAGCAGCAGCCAUGGAGGACACAUGGUACUUCGUAACGGUCUUUGUGUCACCUAUCGCGAUCUUCAUCUUCUUAAUAAUUCUACUGAGGGUCUGCUGGAAAUGGUGCUGCUGCACAGGGGAUGAUUUGCACUAUGAAGAGAACUCCAACGGCCCCAUCUAUGUCAUUCCCAUUUCCAUUAAUGAGGUAGAGGACUGCAGCUCUGAUGAAGACUCAGUGGAGAGCAUGGACGCAUACGCACCUCCUGCAUAUGAAUCCCUCGACCCUCCAACACAAUAUUGGCAGAAAUUCGACAUUCCUGACGAGGCGCCACCAGCCUACUCACAGCUAGAAAUCCCAACAGGUGCAGCAGAACAUUUGGAUUCCACUUUACCACAAUACACUCACUAUGAAGAAGUAUAACCAACUGAGACAAUAAACCCUAUAAAAACCAUGAAACA